rnacentral:snRNA from 1 species
GAACUUACCUGGAAGUAGAGGUACCAUGAUUCCAAAGGUGUUUUUCUCAGAGAGAGUCUCACUCGUUGCAAUAAGAUGUACUGACCCUACAAUUUCCCUAAUUGUGGAAAAUUCAGACAGCAAAAUGUGUGGUGGCAAGGGACUGCAUUCACCUUCUCCUAA